rnacentral:rRNA from 1 species
UACGUAGGGUGCGAGCGUUAAUCGGAAUUACUGGGCGUAAAGCGUGCGCAGGCGGUUUUGUAAGACAGGUGUGAAAUCCCCGGGCUUAACCUGGGAACUGCGCUCGAAACUACUUGGCUCGAGUGUGGCAGAGGAAGGUGGAAUUCCACGUGUAGCGGUGAAAUGCGUAGAGAUGUGGAGGAACACCGAUGGCGAAGGCAGCCUUCUGGGCCAACACUGACGCUCAUGCACGAAAGCGUGGGGAGCAAACAGG